rnacentral:rRNA from 1 species
AAUUAAACGGCCGCGGUACCCUAACCGUGCAAAGGUAGCGUAAUCAUUUGUCUAUUAAUUGUAGACCCGUAUGAAAGGCAUAAUGAGGGUUUAACUGUCUCUUUUAGUAAAUCAAUUAAACUGAUCUCCUAGUCCAAAAGCUAGGAUACUAUCAUAAGACCAGAAGACCCUGUGAAACUUUAACUAAAAUAUUAAAGCCUAUAAUAACUACUUUAGGUUGGGGCGACCUUGGAAAAUAAAAGAACUUCCACACACAUAUUAUAUAAUAAUAUAUAACCGGCCAACAAGCCUACAACGACCCAGCACAGCUGACAAUUGAACCAAGCUACUCCAGGGAUAACAGCGCUAUCUUCUUCAAGAGCCCAUAUCAAAAAGAAGGUUUACGACCUCGAUGUUGGAUCAGGACAUCCUAGUGGUGCAACCGCUAUUAAGGGUUCGUUUGUUCAACGAUUAAUAGUCCUACGUG